UACGUAGGGUGCGAGCGUUAAUCGGAAUUACUGGGCGUAAAGCGUGCGCAGGCGGUCUGUUAAGACCGAUGUGAAAUCCCCGGGCUUAACCUGGGAACUGCAUUGGUGACUGGCAGGCUUUGAGUGUGGCAGAGGGAGGUAGAAUUCCACGUGUAGCAGUGAAAUGCGUAGAGAUGUGGAGGAAUACCGAUGGCGAAGGCAGCCUCCUGGGCCAACACUGACGCUCAUGCACGAAAGCGUGGGGAGCGAACAG
rnacentral:rRNA from 1 species